CCUUAAAGCGUGCUGGAGGUAUCAGAAGUGCGAAUGCUGACAUGAGUAGCGUUAAAGGGGGUGAAAAGCCCCCUCGCCGUAAGCGCAAGGUUUUCUACGCAACGUUCAUCGGCGUAGAGUGAGUCGGCCCCUAAGGCGAGGCAGAGAUGCGUAGCUGAUGGGAAACAGGUCAAUAUUCCUGUACCGAUGUGUAGUGCGAUGUGGGGACGGAUCUUAAUAGGUCAUCCGGGUGUUGGAUAUCCCGGUUUAGUUGGAAGUAGGCGAUGGGUAGGCAAAUCCGCCCGUCAUAUACCGAGGCCAACGAUCGAGCCAGCUUGCUGGUGAAGUGACUGAACGAGGUUCCAGGAAAAGCCACUAAGCUUCAGCUAUACACGACCGUACCGCAAACCGACACUGGUGCGCGAGAUGAGUAUUCUAAGGCGCUUGAGAGAACUCAGGAGAAGGAACUCGGCAAAUUGACACCGUAACUUCGGAAGAAGGUGUGCCCUAUUAGUGUGAAGUGAACAACGGAGCAUGAAUGGGUUGCAAAAAAUCGGUGGCUGCGACUGUUUAUUAAAAACACAGCACUCUGCAAACACGAAAGUGGACGUAUAGGGUGUGACGCCUGCCCGGUGCUGGAAGAUUAAAUGAUGGGGUGCAAGCUCUUGAUUGAAGUCCCAGUAAACGGCGGCCGUAACUAUAACGGUCCUAAGGUAGCGAAAUUCCUUGUCGGGUAAGUUCCGACCUGCACGAAUGGCGUAACGAUGGCCACACUGUCUCCUCCUGAGACUCAGCGAAGUUGAAAUGUUUGUGAUGAUGCAAUCUCCCCGCGGAAAGACGGAAAGACCCCAUGAACCUUUACUGUAGCUUUGUAUUGGACUUUGAACAGAUCUGUGUAGGAUAGGUGUAGGCUUUGAAGCAGGGUCGCUAGAUCUUGUGGAGCCAACGUUGAAAUACCACCCUGGUGUGUUUGAGGUUCUAACCUAGGUCCAUUAUCUGGAUCGGGGACAGUGCAUGGUAGGCAGUUUGACUGGGGCGGUCUCCUCCCAAAGCGUAACGGAGGAGUUCGAAGGUACGCUAGUUACGGUCGGACAUCGUGACGAUAGUGCAAUGGCAUAAGCGUGCUUAACUGCGAGACUGACAAGUCGAGCAGAUGCGAAAGCAGGACAUAGUGAUCCGGUGGUUCUGUAUGGAAGGGCCAUCGCUCAACGGAUAAAAGGUACUCUGGGGAUAACAGGCUGAUACCGCCCAAGAGUUCAUAUCGACGGCGGUGUUUGGCACCUCGAUGUCGGCUCAUCUCAUCCUGGGGCUGUAGCCGGUCCCAAGGGUAUGGCUGUUCGCCAUUUAAAGAGGUACGUGAGCUGGGUUUAAAACGUCGUGAGACAGUUUGGUCCCUAUCUUCCGUGGGCGCUGCAGAUUUGAGGAAGCCUGCUCCUAGUACGAGAGGACCGGAGUGGACACACCUCUGGUGUAUCGGUUGUCACGCCAGUGGCAUUGCCGAGUAGCUAAGUGUGGAAGAGAUAACCGCUGAAAGCAUCUAAGCGGGAAACUCGUUUCAAGAUGAGAUCUGCCGGGGCCUUGAGCCCCCUGAAGAGUCGUUCAAGACCAGGACGUUGAUAGGUCAGGUGUGGAAGCGCAGUAAUGCGUUAAGCUAACUGAUACUAAUUGCUCGUGCGGCUUGACC
rnacentral:rRNA from 1 species